AUGCAAAUGCGUGCUGCUCGCGGACACCAAAGUUUCUAUCAUUGCGCGUAUCGUUUCAAUCGUUACAAUACGCAAGCGCGUGCGAAUAUAGAGUCUUGCUAGCGAUGAACAGACAAAAGAGAAAACAGUCGUCGCCUCGUGACAUUGCGUUAUACUUCACGAACGCGAAAGUACCAACAGUAGAGUCUCAAGUGAAAAACAUUUUACAAUGUACAACAAUAAAAAUUACAAACGUGACAUAAGUUAUACAUACGAAUUGAAUCGGUUUUUUCUUCGCAUAUUGGGCGUCUGGCCCUACGCAAACAAGAAAUUCUGUCUUUUACAAAAGCUGAGGAAGAGCGUGCUGAUUUUCGGAUGCUACUUUAUCCUUUGUUGCGAUCUAAUUUCUAUACUCCUUUAUAUAUUCGUGGUGCAGAAGGAGACACACGCGAGAAUUAAGAUUAUAGGCGUUGUGUUAUUCACGAUUGUGUCGAUUUUCAAGUAUAGCAAUAUGUUGUACGUGGAGAAUCAAAUGAAGGAUUGCUUGGCGUGUGUGGAGAAAGAUUUUCAAAGUGUUACUAGUUCGACUGCGCGCAACACGAUGCUUUUUCACGCGAGAACUGGCAGACGUUUGUUGAUCUUGUGUGGUAUAUUUAUGUAUGGCGGCGGUAUGACAUAUCGAACAGCCAUACCGUUAUCAAGAGAGAAGAUUGUCACCGCUCAGAACAUUACAAUUAGACCUUUGCCGUGUCCUGCUUACUAUGUAGUGUUCGAUUCACAGAUCAGUCCGACUUACGAGAUUGUGUUCUUCGUACAGUGUUUGACGGGUUUCCUCAAGUAUACGAUCACAGUGGCAGGUUGUGGCAUUGCGGCGCUCUUCACGAUGCAUAUCGUCGCGCAAUUAGACAUCUUAAUGGUACUAAUGAACAAUUUGACGGUCAAACAUGAGCUUGAGCAUGUGAACAAGAAAUUAUCUGUUAUCGUACAACAUCAAAUAAAAAUACGAAAUUUUUUAGAUAUGGUGCAAGGCGUUGUACAUUUCUCGAGUUUCGUAGAACUUAUGGCAUGUACUUCCAUAAUAUGCCUCAUGAUAUAUUGCUUAAUUAUGGAAUGGGAGGCCAGUAAUGCCGUAGCCAUUUGUACGUAUUGUAUUUUAGUGAUAUCAUUCAUUUUCAAUAUAUUUGUAUAUUGUUUUAUUGGUGAGCAACUUUCUGAAAAGGGAGAAGAAGUAGCUUUGACUGCAUGUACGUUAGAUUGGCACCUUCUUCCGGAUGCAAAUGCGCGGGCAUUAAUUCUAAUUAUGCUCAUGUGUAAUAAGACAAUGAAACUUAGGGCAGGCAAUUUCUUGGAGUUAUCCUUUAGGACAUUCGGGUCUGUUGUUAAAACAGCCGUGGGAUAUUUAAAUCUCCUUCGAUCAGUUGUAGAUUGAAUUACAAUACAUUUUUUAAUUUAGCGUAGAAUGAAGGAACUAUUAAGUAUGUAAUGUUGAAGUAAACAUAAUUAGAUAUUGAAAGUUAAAUACGGCGUCCUUUCCUAGUGAGGCGGUCUAGAUUUCAUUCCUGACGAAGCAGUAUUUUUCACAUUACAAAGUGGAAUCAAAUCAAUGUUACUUUAUUUGAGGACGAGAAAAAAAUUGUAUACAGAUUUAAUUGAGAGCAAGAGAUAGUUUGCACACGACAGAAAAGUUUACCGCGAACAUUUGAAAUAAACACCGAGGGAUUAUUCAGUGCGUGCAUCUAACUACAAUUAAAUAACGAGAUCCUCUCUUCAAUAAUUUUAUUUGGCAGUCGCACCAAAGAACCGUCAUUUGGCUCCUACAUAUCAUACUCUCUUCUUUAGAUAUUAAAAAUAGAUAUGAAACCUUUUUACUUUCGUUAUAGAGGGUAUCGCAGUAUUAUAGAACGUCAAGCUGAUUCGAGAUUUUUCUAUUUACCAGGAAAAAUUUCCCUCCACGUAAUAAAAAGACGUUAAACUAUAGUUGCGAAAAUUGACCCUUUUAUAAAAAGAUAAUUAUCUACAUUUUAUUUAUUAUGCGAAGAAAUAAUUAUACAUGUACAUUUUAUAUUUUUCAAAAGAGACAUAGUUACUUAUUUUCUUUCCAAUAUAUACAGGUCACGUUUGUAAGUUGCGUUUGUGAUAUUCUGCUUAAAGUCAAUGGCCGUUUGGUAUCGAUAUUAUUAGGUGGUAAACUUAGUUCCUGCGGUUUUUUGUUUAAAAAACUCAUUUAUUUCGACAUCAAAAGCAAAAAAUACAUUAAUCGAAGUAU